rnacentral:rRNA from 1 species
CGGGUGAGUAAUACAUCGGAACGUGUCCUGUAGCGGGGGAUAACCUCUCGAAAGAGAGGCUAAUACCGCAUACGACCCAUGGGUGAAAGAGGGGGAUCGCAAGACCUCUCACUAUUGGAGCGGCCGAUGUCGGAUUAGCUAGUUGGUGGGGUAAAAGCCUACCAAGGCUACGAUCCGUAGCUGGUCUGAGAGGACGACCAGCCACACUGGAACUGAGACACGGUCCAG